AACGAACGCUGGCGGCAGGCCUAACACAUGCAAGUCGAACGUGAAGCCACCUUCGGGCGGUGGAAAGUGGAAGACGGGUGAGUAACGCGUAGGCACGUGCCUUUCGGUUCGGGAUAACCCUGGGAAACUUGGGCUAAUACCGGAUACGCCGUCCGGGGGAAAGGUUCAUUGCCGAAACAACGGCCCGCAGCGGAUUAGCUAGUUGGAGUGGUAAGAGCCUACCAAGGCGACGAUCCGUAGCUGGUCUGAGAGACCGAUGACCAGCCACACUGGGACUGAGACACGGCCCAGACUCCUACGGGAGGCAGAAGUGGGGAAUAUUGGACAAUGGGCGCAAGCCUGUUCCAGCCAUGCCGCGUGGGUGAAGAAGGCCCUAGGGUUGUAAACCCCUUUCAGCGGGGAAGAUAAUGACGGUACCCGCAGAAGAAGCCCCGGCUAACUCCGUGCCAGCCGCCGCGGUAA
rnacentral:rRNA from 1 species